UUACUAGUAACUACUGCUUCUGUUCUCUGGAAACUCUUUAAGCUUGGGAGCAGACACAAAAACUGAACUCUGGGUCCCUGAUCCUAGUUUGUCCUUGAAGUAUGAGGCUGGUGACUGGAGUAUUUAUAUUUCUAGCAGUAGGGACUACAAUUGAUGCAAAGACCACCCAGCCUGACUCCAUGGAUUGUGCUGAAGGAGAAGCUGCAAGCCUGCCUUGUAACCACUCUACCAUCAGUGGAAAUGAGUACAUAUAUUGGUAUCGACAGAUUCUCUUCCAGGGUCCAGAGUUUGUGAUCCAUGGUCUAAAAAACAAUGUGACCAAUGAAAUGGCCUCUCUGAUCAUCCCUGCUGACAGAAAGUACAGUACUUUGAUCCUGCCUCAUGUUACUCUACGAGACACUGCCAUGUACUACUGCAUCGUGGUAGUUGCACAGUGGACAGAUGGGGCAACACGUGGGCAAUAUCUUCCUGGUGUCAAAUGUGGGGAGGGGGGAGGGUAG